GACGAACGCUGGCGGCGUGCCUAAUACAUGCAAGUCGAGCGAGCGGCGGACGGGUGAGUAACACGUAUGGAACCUACCGAUAAGCGGGGGACAACAUCCGGAAACGGGUGCUAAUACCGCAUACUUAUCGAUGGCCUUGCGGUGCAUUAGCUGGUUGGUGGGGUAACGGCCUACCAAGGCAAUGAUGCAUAGCCGACCUGAGAGGGUAAUGGGCCACAUUGGGACUGAGACACGACCCAAACUCCUACGGGAGGCAGCAGUAGGGAAUCUUCCACAAUGGGCGCAAGCCUGAUUCAGCCAUGGCGCGUGGAUGAAGAAGGCCUUCGGGUUGUAAAGUACUUUCAGCGAGGAGGCGUUACUCGCAGAAGAAGCACCGGCUAACUCCGUGCCAGCAGCCGCGGUAAUUC
rnacentral:rRNA from 1 species